GAUGAACGCUGGCGGCGUGCCUAAUACAUGCAAGUCGAGCGAACGGACGAGAGGCUUGCUUCUCUGAUGUUAGCGGCGGACGGGUGAGUAACACGUGGAUAACCUACCUAUAAGACUGGGAUAACUUCGGGAAACCGGAGCUAAUACCGGAUAAUAUUUUGAACCGCAUGGUUCAAAAGUGAAAGACGGUCUUGCUGUCACUUAUAGAUGGAUCCGCGCUGCAUUAGCUAGUUGGUAAGGUAACGGCUUACCAAGGCAACGAUGCAUAGCCGACCUGAGAGGGUGAUCGGCCACACUGGAACUGAGACACGGUCCAGACUCCUACGGGAGGCAGCAGUAGGGAAUCUUCCGCAACGGGCGAAAGCCUGACGGAGCAACGCCGCGUGAGUGAUGAAGGUCUUCGGAUCGUAAAACUCUGUUAUUAGGGAAGAACAUAUGUGUAAGUAACUGUGCACAUCUUGACGGUACCUAAUCAGAAAGCCACGGCUAACUACGUG
rnacentral:rRNA from 1 species